GUGGGGAAUCUUAGACAAUGGGCGCAAGCCUGAUCUAGCCAUGCCGCGUGAGCGAUGAAGGCCUUAGGGUUGUAAAGCUCUUUCAGUGGGGAAGAUAAUGACUGUACCCACAGAAGAAGCCCCGGCUAACUCCGUGCCAGCAGCCGCGGUAAUACGGAGGGGGCUAGCGUUGUUCGGAAUUACUGGGCGUAAAGCGCACGUAGGCGGACUGGAAAGUCAGAGGUGAAAUCCCAGGGCUCAACCUUGGAACUGCCUUUGAAACUCCCGGUCUUGAGGUCGAGAGAGGUGAGUGGAAUUCCGAGUGUAGAGGUGAAAUUCGUAGAUAUUCGGAGGAACACCAGUGGCGAAGGCGGCUCACUGGCUCGAUACUGACGCUGAGGUGCGAAAGCGUGGGGAGCAAACAGGAUUAGAAACCCUAGUAGUCC
rnacentral:rRNA from 1 species